UUGAACGCUGGCGGCAGGCCUAACACAUGCAAGUCGCACGGUAACAGGAAGAAGCUUGCUUCUUUGCUGACGAGUGGCGGACGGGUGAGUAAUGUCUGGGAAACUGCCUGAUGGAGGGGGAUAACUACUGGAAACGGUAGCUAAUACCGCAUAACGUCGCAAGACCAAAGAGGGGGACCUUCGGGCCUCUUGCCAUCGGAUGUGCCCAGAUGGGAUUAGCUAGUAGGUGGGGUAACGGCUCACCUAGGCGACGAUCCCUAGCUGGUCUGAGAGGAUGACCAGCCACACUGGAACUGAGACACGGUCCAGACUCCUACGGGAGGCAGCAGUGGGGAAUAUUGCACAAUGGGCGCAAGCCUGAUGCAGCCAUGCCGCGUGUAUGAAGAAGGCCUUCGGGUUGUAAAGUACUUUCAGCGGGGAGGGAGGGAGUAAAGUUAAUACCUUUGCUCAUUGACGUUACCCGCAGAAGAAGCACCGGCUAACUCCGUG
rnacentral:rRNA from 1 species